rnacentral:rRNA from 1 species
GAGGAAUAUUGGUCAAUGGGCGCAAGCCUGAACCAGCCAUCCCGCGUGAAGGAUGAAUGUACUAUGUAUUGUAAACUUCUUUUCUGGCAGAAGAAAAUCCUGUACGUGUAUGGGUUUGACGGUAUGUCAGGAAUAAGCAUCGGCUAACUCCGUGCCAGCAGCCGCGGUAAUACGGAGGAUGCGAGCGUUAUCCGGAUUCAUUGGGUUUAAAGGGUGCGCAGGCGGCCCCAUAAGUCAGUGGUGAAAUCCUGCCGCUUAACGGUAGAACUGCCAUUGAUACUGUAGGGCUUGAGUACAAUUGAGGUAGGCGGAAUGUGUUGUGUAGCGGUGAAAUGCUUAGAUAUGACACAGAACGCCGAUUGCGAAGGCAGCUUACCAAGCUGUAACUGACGCUGAGGCACGAAAGCGUGGGUAGCGAAC